rnacentral:rRNA from 1 species
GACGAACGCUGGCGGCGUGCUUAACACAUGCAAGUCGAACGGAAAGGCCCUGCUUUUGUGGGGUGCUCGAGUGGCGAACGGGUGAGUAACACGUGAGUAACCUGCCCUUGACUUUGGGAUAACUUCAGGAAACUGGGGCUAAUACCGGAUAGGAUCUCCUGCUGCAUGGUGGGGGUUGGAAAGUUUCGGCGGUUGGGGAUGGACUCGCGGCUUAUCAGCUUGUUGGUGGGGUAGUGGCUUACCAAGGCUUUGACGGGUAGCCGGCCUGAGAGGGUGACCGGCCUCAUUGGGACUGAGAUACGGCCCAGACUCCUACGGGAGGCAGCAGUGGGGAAUAUUGCACAAUGGGCGGAAGCCUGAUGCAGCAACGCCGCGUGCGGGAUGACGACCUUCGGGUUGUAAACCGCUUUCGCCUGUGACGAAGCGUGAGUGACGGUAAUGGGUAAAGAAGCACCGGCUAACUACGUG